UGACAAUUUUUUUCUUCUAUUUAAAUUUUUGUUUAGCUCACUUUGUAACAUGGUUCUAAUGAAAUGACGCAUGCAAUACUACAGUCCAAGGUUGCAUCUGAUUCUAUUUGUCUCUCUUUGAUGACUUGUUCCAGAUUCAACAUCCAAGGUCGCAUGUGGAUAGGUUUGAUUUGGUGAUAGCUCCUCGCCAUGAUUAUUACCCAUUGACCCCCCAUGCACAGAAGCAAAUCCUUGAUUUCUUCGGAGGUGGAUCACUCCACGUGAACCACCGGGCAAAAGUGUUGUUCUCUAUUAUGAGUUUCAGCUUCUCACUGUUGGAGCUCUUCAUCAGGCUGAUUUUGCUGCACUUAUGAGUGCUGCUUCUGUCUGGCAUGCUGAAUUGGCACCACUUCCCAAACCUUUGCUUGUGGUUAAUACCGGAGGCCCUUAAACUAAGUUUUUCCAGCUAAAAAACUGUUAUGAUUUAAUAUUGUCGUUUUUAUGAUGAAAUGCUUUCGAUGGAUUUCUGUCAUUUUCAUUAUUGUUGAUGCAGGAAUCGAUAAUCAUAAAUCCUGACAUUGUAGACUUAUAAGAUGCUGGUUUUGCUAUGUCAUUAUCCUUUACUGUGUUCUAUUACAUGCCAGAGUUAAUUUGUUUGUUGGAAUUACAUAUUGGUCCCCUCUUCUUUUGCAUUGUUCAAAGUUGUUUCUCCCUUCAUGUUUUGCAUUGAGGAGAUAAUCAAAUAGUCCUGCAUCCAUACUCUUUUCAUAGGAAACUGUUCAUAUGAUGCAGAUCUUGCUAAACAUUUAGUAGCUAUGCUGCAGAAUGUUCUUUGGAGCUGUGGAAGUGUGAGAAUAUCUUUCUCUGGGAGAACUACCGAACAGGUGUCCAGAGUUUUGAGGAAAGAAUUCAGUACUAAUCCCAAAGUCUACAUUUGGGAUGGUGAAGGUCGCAAUCCACAUAUGGGCCAUCUAGCCUGCACCGAUGCUUUUGUCAUUACCGCUGAUUCAGUCAGUAUGUUGAGGGAGGCUUGUAUUACCGCAAACCUGUUUAUGUGAUUGGUGGGGAACACUGUACAUGGAAAUUCGCAGACUUCCAGAACUCUCUGCAGGAACGAGGAGCUGUUCGACCAUUCACCGGUAAAGAAGAUAUGUCCCAGCGUUGGAGAUAUACACCACUCAAUGACACUGCCGAUGCUGCGAGGCGGGUGAACAAGACACUUGCUGAGCGUGGAUGGAGUAUACAACUAAACUAACCUAAAUGAGCUUUGCCAAGCCACUUAAUACUACGGUCCAAUGAUAUUCUUCUUCAUUUGUAAGUGAGAGGUCUUAGAUACGAUUAUCGCCAAAGAAGAAUUCAAGAUUUAGCUCACUCCCCCCACUCCUUAGUGUAGAUAACAUUGAAUGUAUUAACAUAAAAAAGAGCUUUGCCAAAUGUCAAACCCAUUGAAAUGGAGUAAUUUAGUUUUUAGUUACAACAUAUAGCAGCGUGUGAUUGA